UACGGAGGAUGCAAGCGUUAUCCGGAUUUAUUGGGUUUAAAGGGUGCGCAGGUUGUUUGAUAAGUCAGUGGUGAAAGUCUGUCGCUUAACGGUAGGGUUGCCAUUGAUACUGUUGGACUUGAAUAUGGAUGAGGUAGGCGGAAUGUGUAGUGUAGCGGUGAAAUGCAUAGAUAUUACACAGAACACCGAUUGCGAAGGCAGCUUACUAAUCCAUCAUUGACGCUGAGGCACGAAAGCGUGGGGAUCAAACAGGA
rnacentral:rRNA from 1 species